rnacentral:Y_RNA from 1 species
GAUUGGUCAAAGUGCAGUGGUGUUUUCAACCAAUUUAUCACAACCAGUUACAAAUGUCUUUGUUCAUUCUCUAGCCCCACUGCUUCACUCAACUAGCCUAAA